rnacentral:rRNA from 1 species
ACUCCUACGGGAGGCAGCAGUGGGGAAUAUUGCACAAUGGGGGGAACCCGUGAUGCAGCCAUGCCGCGUGAAUGAAGAAGGCCUUCGGGUUGUAAAGUUCUUUCGGUGACGAGGAAGGUUGAUAGGUUAAUAGCCUAUCAAAUUGACGUUAAUCACAGAAGAAGCACCGGCUAACUCCGUGCCAGCAGCCGCGGUAAUACGGGGGUGC